rnacentral:rRNA from 14 species
GUGAACCUGCGGAGGGAUCAUUA